CAGCAGCCGUGGUAAUACGUAGGUGGCAAGCGUUGUCCGGAAUUAUUGGGCGUAAAGGGCUCGCAGGCGGUUUCUUAAGUCUGAUGUGAAAGCCCCCGGCUCAACCGGGGAGGGUCAUUGGAAACUGGGAAACUUGAGUGCAGAAGAGGAGAGUGGAAUUCCACGUGUAGCGGUGAAAUGCGUAGAGAUGGGGAGGAACACCAGUGGCGAAGGCGACUCUCUGGUCUGUAACUGACGCUGAGGAGCGAAAGCGUGGGGAGCGAACAGGAUUAGAUACCCGUGUAGUCCCUGUCUCUUAUAC
rnacentral:rRNA from 1 species